AGAGUUUGAUCAUGGCUCAGGAUGAACGCUAGCUACAGGCUUAACACAUGCAAGUCGAGGGGCAGCAUGUCGGUUGCUUGCAACCGAUGAUGGCGACCGGCGCACGGGUGAGUAACGCGUAUCCAACCUACCCUUGUCCAUCGGAUAACCCGUCGAAAGGCGGCCUAACACGAUAUGCGGUUCUCAGCAGGCAUCUAACGAGAACGAAAUGUGAAGGAGAAGGAUGGGGAUGCGUCUGAUUAGCUUGUAGGCGGGGUAACGGCCCACCUAGUCUUCGAUGGAUAGGGGUUCUGAGAGGAAGGUCCCCCACAUUGGAACUGAGACACGGUCCAAACUCCUACGGGAGGCAGCAGUGAGGAAUAUUGGUCAAUGGGCGAGAGCCUGAACCAGCCAAGUAGCGUGAAGGAUGACUGCCCUAUGGGUUGUAAACUUCUUUUAUAAAGGAAUAAAGUCGGGUAUGGAUACCCGUUUGCAUGUACUUUAUGAAUAAGGAUCGGCUAACUCCGUGCCAGCAGCCGCGGUAAUACGGAGGAUCCGAGCGUUAUCCGGAUUUAUUGGGUUUAAAGGGAGCGUAGAUGGAUGUUUAAGUCAGUUGUGAAAGUUUGCGGCUCAACCGUAAAAUUGCAGUUGAUACUGGAUAUCUUGAGUGCAGUUGAGGCAGGCGGAAUUCGUGGUGUAGCGGUGAAAUGCUUAGAUAUCACGAAGAACUCCGAUUGCGAAGGCAGCCUGCUAAGCUGCAACUGACAUUGAGGCUCGAAAGUGUGGGUAUCAAACAGGAUUAGAUACCCUGGUAGUCCACACGGUAAACGAUGAAUACUCGCUGUUUGCGAUAUACAGCAAGCGGCCAAGCGAAAGCGUUAAGUAUUCCACCUGGGGAGUACGCCGGCAACGGUGAAACUCAAAGGAAUUGACGGGGGCCCGCACAAGCGGAGGAACAUGUGGUUUAAUUCGAUGAUACGCGAGGAACCUUACCCGGGCUUAAAUUGCAGAUGAAUUACGGUGAAAGCCGUAAGCCGCAAGGCAUCUGUGAAGGUGCUGCAUGGUUGUCGUCAGCUCGUGCCGUGAGGUGUCGGCUUAAGUGCCAUAACGAGCGCAACCCUUGUUGUCAGUUACUAACAGGUUUCGCUGAGGACUCUGACAAGACUGCCAUCGUAAGAUGUGAGGAAGGUGGGGAUGACGUCAAAUCAGCACGGCCCUUACGUCCGGGGCUACACACGUGUUACAAUGGGGGGUACAGAGGGCCGCUACCACGCGAGUGGAUGCCAAUCCCCAAAACCUCUCUCAGUUCGGACUGGAGUCUGCAACCCGACUCCACGAAGCUGGAUUCGCUAGUAAUCGCGCAUCAGCCACGGCGCGGUGAAUACGUUCCCGGGCCUUGUACACACCGCCCGUCAAGCCAUGGGAGCCGGGGGUACCUGAAGUGCGUAACCGCGAGGAGCGCCCUAGGGUAAAACUGGUGACUGGGGCUAAGUCGUAACAAGGUA
rnacentral:rRNA from 1 species